CCCGUCGCGCCGUCUUGCCUGUUGCUUCACUGUGUCAUUUCGGGUAGCAAAAGCAAGGAGGGUGGAAGUUUGAUGUAUCAUCAGUGCCAGAGGAAUGAUAAGCGUGGAGUUGUCUUUUGCUCAAAGUGCAACAGAAAACACUACAGUUCAUGUGGUCACCAAAGAACUAAUCCAUCAAGGUAUGCGCAUGCUGAAAUAUUUGCCAGUAAAUAUUGUGAAAAGUGUGAUCACUUUUGUAGCAAACAUUAAAUUUGGUGAUCUCUCUCAAUUUGGAAUUCGUCGUCCAAAUAAGGGACCAUUCUAUCUGAAGGAAGCUGCUAGUAGGUCUCCAAUUCUUGAUGUUGGAACCAUUGCCAAGAUUAAAGACGGUGCAAUCAAGGUUAUUCCUUCUCAUAUAAUGAGAAUUGAGAACAAAGUGAUAUUUGGAAACAACACGGAGAAGGAAUUUGAUGCAAUUGUGUUUGCCACUGGAUAUAAAAGCGUAGCUAACAAAUGGUUGAAGGAUAACGAAGAUGGAAUGCCAAAGAAUGCAUUUCCAAAGCCUUUUACCUUGAAAACUGUUAUAUGCAGCCAUCUUGAAGGAAUUGAUAAUCUUCCCAUUUUGAUAUAAGGUACCCAGGUAAAACCCGGAAGUAAGUUGAGAAUGCAUGUCCAUUCUGUUCAGGCAAUUUCAAUUGCAAAGCCUGCUUGCGGGAGGUUCCAGUGCUUAGGGACCGAGAGGUAAAUUCCAGUGUCAAAUUACAUCGACUGCACUACUUACUCUAUAAAGCCUUGCCUGUUCUGAGGCAUAUUCACAGGAAGCAAAGCUUAGAACUAGAUAUUGAGUCUAAAAUAAGAGGUGAGCAACUGCAAGAAAAAGGCAUAGCAAGAACAGCGCUAGACAAACGUGAGCGCUUAUAUUUGUACGUUUUCUGAGUUUAAUUGCUGUUGCAAGAACAGAGCUGUUGCCUUAGUUACUUAAUUGCUGAAAUGACCAAUGGAGGAGUGGAUCGUUCUGUUGAAUGUACUGGCAGCAUCUAGGCUAUGAUCUCAGCAUUUCUAGUUCUGUUCUAAUCCCGCCACUUUCAUUCCCUGGAUUUCAUUUGCAAGAUUCUACAAACGAUGGACUAUUUGAAGUCUGAAGAUGAAUUUGUGAUCCAAACAAGGUGCCCAAUGGUGAUGAGACAUUUCAGGGAUGAUCUAAGACUGGUUUAGCACCAUUAGAGAGAAUAAUGAGAGAAGGAUUUGGUGAAUAAGAGCUAGCAAUGACCUUGUCAGAAUAUUUAGCACUAAAACAUGUCUUGAAAGGGAAGUUAGUCUCAUCAAAUUAAAGAAAAUAUGUGUGCUGAGUAUUGUUUUUCUAGCUGUAGUUAAACAUUUGUAUCCCUUGUGUUGAGGGCCAUAGGCCAUAGCUAAGAAAUACACAAGAUUCACUCCUAUCAUCUAUCUUAUAUGAAUUAUAUGGUCUAGUAUAAGGGAAGCAAAGGCAACCGAAAAUCUUAUUUAAUUACUUUACUUUGAAUAUUUUGGAUUAUUAGGGGAUUGCAAUUUAAACGAAUAUAAGUCUAAGUUUAGUUAUUUAUCUUA